AUUGAACGCUGGCGGCAUGCUUUACACAUGCAAGUCGAACGGUAACAGGCCGCAAGGUGCUGACGAGUGGCGAACGGGUGAGUAAUGCAUCGGAACGUGCCCAGUCGUGGGGGAUAACGCAGCGAAAGCUGCGCUAAUACCGCACACGAUCUAUGGAUGAAAGCGGGGGACCGUAAGGCCUCGCGCGAUUGGAGCGGCCGAUGUCAGAUUAGGUCGUUGGUGGGGUAAAGGCUCACCAAGCCAACGAUCUGUAGCUGGUCUGAGAGGACGACCAGCCACACUGGGACUGAGGCACGGCCCAGACUCCUACAGGAGGCAGCAGUGGGGAAUUUUGGACAAUGGGCGCAAGCCUGAUCCAGCAAUGCCGCGUGCAGGAAGAAGGCCUUCGGGUUGUAAACUGCUUUUGUACGGAACGAAACGGUCCUGGUUAAUACCUGGGGCUAAUGACGGUACCGUAAGAAUAAGCACCGGCUAACUACGUGCCUGCCGCCGCGGUAAGAC
rnacentral:rRNA from 1 species